AGAGUUUGAUCCUGGCUCAGAUUGAACGCUGGCGGCAGGCCUAACACAUGCAAGUCGAACGGUAACAGGAAGCAGCUUGCUGCUUUGCUGACGAGUGGCGGACGGGUGAGUAAUGUCUGGGAAACUGCCUGAUGGAGGGGGAUAACUACUGGAAACGGUAGCUAAUACCGCAUAACGUCGCAAGACCAAAGAGGGGGACCUUCGGGCCUCUUGCCAUCGGAUGUGCCCAGAUGGGAUUAGCUUGUUGGUGGGGUAACGGCUCACCAAGGCGACGAUCCCUAGCUGGUCUGAGAGGAUGACCAGCCACACUGGAACUGAGACACGGUCCAGACUCCUACGGGAGGCAGCAGUGGGGAAUAUUGCACAAUGGGCGCAAGCCUGAUGCAGCCAUGCCGCGUGUAUGAAGAAGGCCUUCGGGUUGUAAAGUACUUUCAGCGGGGAGGAAGGGAGUAAAGUUAAUACCUUUACUCAUUGACGUUACCCGCAGAAGAAGCACCGGCUAACUCCGUGCCAGCAGCCGCGGUAAUACGGAGGGUGCAAGCGUUAAUCGGAAUUACUGGGCGUAAAGCGCACGCAGGCGGUUUGUUAAGUCAGAUGUGAAAUCCCCGGGCUCAACCUGGGAACUGCAUCUGAUACUGGCAAGCUUGA
rnacentral:rRNA from 1 species